ACUAUUUUGACAGAUAAAUGUGAUGGUUUUAGAAAUCAUUUAUAUAUAAUUUAAUUAUAUAGGUAGUA
rnacentral:tRNA from 2 species